rnacentral:rRNA from 1 species
AAUUGCAGCGCGAACUACCGGACUUGAGUGCGCAGGAAGUAGGCGGAAUUCGUGGUGUAGCGGUGAAAUGCUUAGAUAUCACGAAGAACUCCGAUUGCGAAGGCAGCUUACUGUAGCGUUACUGACGCUGAAGUUCGAAAGCGCGGGUAUCGAACAGGAUUAGAUACCCUGGUAGUCCGCGCGGUAAACGAUGGAUGCUCGCUGUCAGCGAUAUAAUGUUGGUGGCCAAGCGAAAGCGUUAAGCAUCCCACCUGGGGAGUACGCCGGCAACGGUGAAACUCAAAGGAAUUGACGGGGGCCCGCACAAGCGGAGGAACAUGUGGUUUAAUUCGAUGAUACGCGAGGAACCUUACCCGGGCUUGAAUUGCAGAGGAAAGAUCCAGAGAUGGUGAUGCCCUUCGGGGUCUCUGUGAAGGUGCUGCAUGGUUGUCGUCAGCUCGUGCCGUGAGGUGUCGGCUUAAGUGCCAUAACGAGCGCAACCCCUCUCCGUAGUUGCCAUCAGGUAGUGCUGGGCACUCUGCGGACACUGCCACCGUAAGGUGUGAGGAAGGUGGGGAUGACGUCAAAUCAGCACGGCCCUUACGUCCGGGGCUACACACGUGUUACAAUGGGGCAUACAGAGAGCAGUCUGCCGGCGACGUCGGACGAAUCCUUAA